UUCCAGACUCCUACGGGAGGCAGCAGUGAGGAAUAUUGGUCAAUGGGCGCAAGCCUGAACCAGCCAAGUCGCGUGAGGGAUGACGGUCCUAUGGAUUGUAAACCUCUUUUGUCGGGGAGCAAAGCGCGGUACGAGUACCGUGAAGGAGAGUACCCGAAGAAAAAGCAUCGGCUAACUCCGUGCCAGCAGCCGCGGUAAUACGGAGGAUGCGAGCGUUAUCCGGAUUUAUUGGGUUUAAAGGGUGCGUAGGCGGAUUAGUAAGUCAGCGGUAAAAAUGCGGUGCUCAACGCCGUAUCGCCGUUGAAACUGCGGGUCUUGAGUGAGCGAGAAGUAUGCGGAAUGCGUGGUGUAGCGGUGAAAUGCAUAGAUAUCACGCAGAACUCCGAUUGCGAAGGCAGCAUACCGGCGCUCAACUGACGCUGAGGCACGAAAGCGUGGGGAUCGAACAGGAUUAGAUACCCCGGUAAU
rnacentral:rRNA from 1 species